rnacentral:rRNA from 1 species
UACGUAGGUGGCGAGCGUUGUCCGGAAUUACUGGGUGUAAAGCGCGUGUAGGCGGGCGGCCAAGUCUGUGGUGAAAUCGCUCGGCUUAACUGGGCGGGGUCCAUGGAAACUGGUCACCUGGAGGUCGGUAGAGGCAAGUGGAAUUCCCGGUGUAGUGGUGAAAUGCGUAGAUAUCGAGAGGAACACCUGCGGCGAAGGCGGGUUGCUGGGCUGACACUGACGCUGAUGCGCGAAAGCUAGGGGAGCGAACGGG